UAGGAAUUAUUUUUUAAUAUUAAAACCAAGUAUAUAAUAAUGUAUCAUGAUUUAAAUUGCCAAUCUCUAUAAUUAUUACCGUGAUCAACAAAUAUUGAUGACAUUAAACAUGUUUUUACUCCUCUAUGUCUUCAAAUAAAAACUCUUAUCGUGAUCAACAAAUAUUGAUGACAUUAAACAUGUUUUUACUCCUCUAUGUCUUCAAAUAAAAACUCUUAUCUAUCAUCAUGAAGGGGCUGAACAAGUUGCAUGAUUUAUGAACUAUGAAAAUGGUCAAAAAAAAUAUAUAUUUGGGUUUAUCAGCAAAAGUUAUCCAAGUUACUCAAGCAAUUGACAUUUUAGAAUCUGAAGACUUCCGCACUUCUGAGUAAUUAAUAUUUUAAAUAAUUUCAAAAAAUGGCCAACAACAUAUUAAACAGUGGAAAUUACCCACAAUCCUUCAGAAUCUGAAAGGGCUAAUUCACUUUCUUUGUGUGAUUCAGUUAGAAUUAAAUUCAUUUUUAAUCUAAAUAUUUAGAUUCUAAAAAUUACAGGCUGCAAUUUCAUUAAAUUUCAGAAGUUAUAUAUACUUUAGGCCACGGUUUUUUAAUUUGUUGGUUUAUGGAUUUUCCCCAUGAAAAAGUCGGGUCGGUCGGGAAAAAAAAAAGAAAAAAAAUCAUCUUUGAAGACAAAAAAAUAUGCAAAAUCAAUAUAUAUUUCACCUUUCUAGCAAUAUGUUUGUUAUGCUAUUUUAUCAUCAUUUCUAAAAUUUUAGUUCGAUGAAAUAUUAUUGCUCAGCUGUUAUAAACUACGCAUGACAUUGUCUAGUAAUUUACAGUAAAAAAAAGGGGAUGCACGGACAAAGACGAAAUUAAAUCAUCAUUUCAGAAACAAGAAAAAUAGAUUCGCGUAGCUAAUUCCAGAAAACUUGGUAAAUAAUGAUCUUCAAGCACGAAAACUGAUAAAGAAAAAAUGCAUAAACGUCGUACGAAAAUAAGUUUCAACACACGUGUCAAAAACCUAAUAGAAUCGUCCACUGGAAAAACGAUAUCGGGUUAAUCUGUUGUCUUGCAUUCCCGUUUUUUUAUCCAAAUGAACGACAUUUUUUUAUUACCUAUAAAAACAAGAAAAUUCCUAAUGAUUUGUUAAUAUUCAGUUCUUUAAUUUGAUGCCUUCACCCUGUCCACAUUUGGACAAGUCUAUUUCUAUGAGAUGAUGCAUCUUACGGACUGAUGACAAAUAAGGUAAACAA
rnacentral:lncRNA from 1 species